AACGCUGGCGGCGUGCCUAACACAUGCAAGUCGAACGAGAAAGUGGAGCAAUCCAUGAGUAAAGUGGCGACCGGGUGAGUAACACGUGACUAACCUACCCUGAAGUGGGGAAUAACCUCGGGAAACCGGGGCUAAUACCGCAUAACAUCGCGAGGGGAAGAUCCUAGUGAUCAGAGGAGCAAUUCGCUUUAGGAGGGGGUCGCGGCUGAUUAGUUAGUUGGUGAGGUAGCGGCUCACCAAGACAAAGAUCAGUAUCCGGCCUGAGAGGGCGCACGGACACACUGGAACUGAAACACGGUCCAGACUCCUACGGGAGGCAGCAGUGGGGAAUUUUGCGCAAUGGGGGAAACCCUGACGCAGCAACGCCGCGUGGAGGAUGAAGUCCCUUGGGAUGUAAACUCCUUUCGAUCGGGACGAUUAUGACGGUACCGGAAG
rnacentral:rRNA from 1 species